rnacentral:rRNA from 1 species
UACAGAGGGGGCAAGCGUUGUUCGGAAUUACUGGGCGUAAAGGGCGCGUAGGCGGCCUUCUAAGUCGAACGUGAAAUCCCCGGGCUCAACCCGGGAACUGCGUCCGAUACUGGAAGGCUUGAAUCCGGGAGAGGGAUGCGGAAUUCCAGGUGUAGCGGUGAAAUGCGUAGAUAUCUGGAGGAACACCGGUGGCGAAGGCGGCAUCCUGGACCGGUAUUGACGCUGAGGAGCGAAAGCCAGGG